rnacentral:rRNA from 1 species
UACGGAGGGGGCGAGCGUUAUUCGGAAUUAUUGGGCGUAAAGGGCGCGUAGGCGGCAUUGCAAGUAGGGUGUGAAAGCCCUCGGCUCAACCGAGGAAUUGCGCUCUAAACUGCAGUGCUUGAGGAACCUAGAGGUGAGCAGAACAGAUGGUGGAGCGGUGAAAUGCGUUGAUAUCAUCUGGAAUACCGGAGGCGAAGGCGGCUCACUGGGAGUUUUCUGACGCUGAGGAACGAAAGCCAGGGUAGCAAACAGG